rnacentral:rRNA from 1 species
GCAACGCAUGCUUAUCGCCUAAGUGGAAAUCAGGAUGACGCAAUUGUGAGCGUAGUGUCCGCCCAGCAAAAGGUGCUGAUCAGCAGCAGUGGUGGCGUGACCACUGC